rnacentral:rRNA from 1 species
UACGAAGGGUGCAAGCGUUGUUCGGAAUCAUUGGGCGUAAAGCGCGCGCAGGCGGAUCAGUAAGUCAGGUGUGAAAUCUCGGGGCUCAACCUCGAAAUUGCGCCUGAAACUACUAGUCUAGAAUGUCGGAGGGGGCAGGGGAAUUUCACGUGUAGGGGUAAAAUCCGUAGAGAUGUGAAGGAACACCGGGGGCGAAGGCGCCUGCCUGGACGACUAUUGACGCUGAGGCGCGAAAGCGUGGGGAGCAAACAGG